UACGGAGGGUGCAAGCGUUAUCCGGAUUCACUGGGUUUAAAGGGUGCGUAGGAGGGCAGGUAAGUCAGUGGUGAAAUCUCUGGGCUUAACCCAGAAACUGCCGUUGAUACUAUCUGUCUUGAAUACCGUGGAGGUGAGCGGAAUAUGUCAUGUAGCGGUGAAAUGCAUAGAUAUGACAUAGAACACCAAUUGCGAAGGCAGCUCACUACACGCAUAUUGACUCUGAGGCACGAAAGCGUGGGGAUCAAACAGG
rnacentral:rRNA from 1 species